AUGCGGUGUGCUGACGUCUUAGCUGAGAAUGCAACGGAUGGACACUGGGUGUUUGCCAAGGCUGUCUUCAAAAGCACGGUAACGGGGACAGUCACACUGUCCCAGCAGACUUUUCUGGAUGGCAGCUACAGUGACAUCACUCUGGAGGUGGACGUGCGGGCGUCACAGGUGCUAGAUGUAAGCAUGCAUGGACCUCUUGCAUCUGUUCAAUCUCUUUUAAUAGAUGCAACAACAAAAACGGUCACAUUGUCAUUGUUAUCUAAUUCCUAACCUUAACACAGGUAGGUUCAAUUAAAAACAGGAGCCUGGAAAAAUAUCCUCUUUUUGUGGCAACAAAUAACUUCUGUCACAUAGUGGCUGUUAUCUAGCCUACUGUGCAAUCUCGGCAUCGAGAAAUCAAAGUCAAUCAAUCAAAUGUAUUUAUAAAGUCGUUUUUACAUCAGCAGUUGACACAAAGUGCUUUUACAGAAACCCUGCCUACAACCCCAAAGAGCAAGCAAUGCAGACGUAGAAACACAAUACAGAUGUAGAACCACAAUACAGACGUAGAAACACAAUACAGAUGUAGAACCACAAUGCAGAUGUAGAAACACAAUGCAGAUGUAGAAACACAAUGCAGAUGUAGAACCACAAUGCAGAUGUAGAAACACAAUGCAGAUGUAGAAACACAAUGCAGAUGUAGAACCACAAUGCAGAUGUAGAACCACAAUGCAGAUGUAGAACCACAAUACAGACGUAGAAACACAAUGCAGAUGUAGAACCACAAUACAGACGUAGAAACAAAUCAGCUGCUCUGUAACAUUUUAAUGUCUGUCACUAGAGUCUAUGUAUCGUAGAAUCCUAUCACAGGUUCUAUUAGAAAAGGGAAGCUGUAUAAAAAGAAUGAUAAAACAUCAGAGAAAUCCUGUUUUCCCCACUGUAACCAGGUAACAGAGGUUUCCUGGACCAUCACUGGUAAAGGCUCUGAGUUGAACCACAACCAGUGUCCCGGUGUUGGGGACACGUUUAACCCCUUCAACAUGGAAGCUGGGGUGAGUUUAUUCUCUCAUGUUCACUCACAAUACAUCAAGGCCCUUCUUCAUGAAGUGUCUAGGAUAGAUCAGCAUUCCUCCUCUGAGACACUUUAUGAAUUAGGGCCCAGCACAUCGCCAUCAUAGGAGAAUUUCCCCCACUAUGUAGCGCUGAUCUCUGCUUUAUUCCAACUUUAAAGUUCCACUUGAUCAGCAAGUCUUAUGGAAUCCAACGGAACUGUGUUUGAUAUUCCAUCGAAUCUUUGUCUUUGACAAUGUCACAGUUGUUGGGUUUUGAGUUUGCAAGACAGGCAUUUCACUGUACUUAUGUGUGUGAUAUUAAAACUUGAAACUACACCACAACCACAACCAUAUACUUCACAUUGUUCUCAUAACCAGAAGUGGAAGUGUUUGUUGGAAUUGGUUUCAAUAACAUUAGAAUGAGUAGAACAGUCAUGGAACC
rnacentral:lncRNA from 1 species